GAAUAAUAUACGAUAGAUCAUAAUGCCUGGAAUGGUUUAUGAUUGAAAUGAUUUAUCGCCGUAGGAUGGGACUGCGGCCUAUCAGCUUGUUGGUGGGGUAAUGGCCCACCAAGGCUAUAACAGGUACGGGCUCUGAGAGGAGAAGCCCGGAGAUGGGUACUGAGACACGGACCCAGGCCCUAUGGGGCGCAGCAGGCGAGAAACCUUAGCAAUGUGCGAAAGCACGACUAGGUUAAUCCGAGUGAUUUCUGCUGAAGAAAUCUUUUGUCAGUUCUAAAAAUACCGAUGAAUAAGGGGUGGGCAAGUCUGGUGUCAGCCGCCGCGGUAAUACCAGCACCUCGAGUGGUCAGGAUGUUUAUUGGGCCUAAAGCAUCCGUAGCCGGCUUUACAAGUCUCCGGUUAAAUCCAGCUGCCUAACAGAUGGGCUGCCGGAGAUACUACAAAGCUAGGGAGCGGGAGAGGCAGACGGUAUUCGGUGGGUAGGGGUAAAAUCCUCUGAUCCAUUGAGGACCACCAGUGGCGAAGGCGGUCUGCCAGAACGCGUUCGACGGUGAGGGAUGAAAGCUGGGGGAGCAAACCCGGAUUAGAUACCCCGGGUAGUCCCCAGCUGUUAAACGAUGCAAACUCCGGUGAUGCAUUGGCCUUAUGGGCCAAUGCAGUGGCCGCAGGGGAAGCCCGUUUAAGUUUUGCCGCCCGGGGAAAGUACCGGUCCGCAAAGAAUUGAAAACUUUAAAGGGAAUUUGGGCGGGGGGAACCAC
rnacentral:rRNA from 1 species